rnacentral:misc_RNA from 1 species
GAUGAAGAACGUAGCGAAAUGCGAUAAGUAGUGUGAAUUGCAGAAUUCAGUGAAUCAUCGAAUCUUUGAACGCACAUUGCGCCCCUUGGUAUUCCAUGGGGCAUGCCUGUUCGAGCGUCAUUUGUACCUUCAAGCCUUGCUUGGUGUUGGGUGUUUGUCUCGCCUCUGCCCGCAGACUCGCCUCAAAACAAUUGGCAGCCGGCGUAUUGAUUUCGGAGCGCAGUACAUCUCGCGCUUUGCACUCAGAACGACGACGUCCAAAAGUACAUUUUUUACACUCUUGACCUCGGAUCAGGUAGGGAUACCCGCUGAACUUAAGCAUAUCAAUAAGCGGAGGA